ensembl:lncRNA
GGUGGCUUCAUAAACGCUAGCAAAGUAAAGGAAAAUCAAAAUGUGUUUACCCAUAGCGAAACUCAGCUUUUGCUGUGAUGCCCCCUAUUGGUCAUGAAUGGUAACAGGUCUGCUGGGUCUUGGAGAGAUGAGAUGAUGGGAGGAGCCAGCCACAAAAGGACUUUUGAGUAAAAUGUGUUUAUGUUUCUCUCUCCUGCUUUACUGGAACUCGCUCUGCUCUCCACUGCCUCACUCCAUCAUGCUCUUUGCACUCGUGAUAUGUUUCAUUUUAUGUGGUCCAAGUGUUGAAGACAGUAUCAGUCAGCAGAAGGAUGUCCAACGUGCUGUUGAGGGUGCUGCUGUGGUGCUCUCAUGCAGCUACAACAGCUCUGUACUGGAAUCACUAAGAGAUAAGUCUCAUCCUUGAGCUGAACACCAGAUAGUUUCUCCCUUUGCU